rnacentral:rRNA from 1 species
AAUCUUGCGCAAUGGGCGAAAGCCUGACGCAGCCAUGCCGCGUGAAUGAUGAAGGUCUUAGGAUUGUAAAAUUCUUUCACCGGGGACGAUAAUGACGGUACCCGGCGAAGAAGCCCCGGCUAACUUCGUGCCAGCAGCCGCGGUAAUACGAAGGGGGCUAGCGUUGCACGGAAUUACUGGGCGUAAAGGGCGCGUCGGCGGGUCGUUAAGUCAGAGGUGAGAUACCAGGGCUCAAACCUGGAACAGCCUAUGAUACAGGGGAUCUUGAGUAUGAGAGAGGUAUGGGGAACUCCGAGUGUAGAGGUGAAAUUCGUAGAGAUUCGGAAGAGAACCAGUGGCGAAGACGACAUACUGGCUCAUUACUGACGCUGAGGCGCGAGAGCGUGGGGAGAAAACAG